GGACUACAGGGGUAUCUAAUCCCUUUUGCUACCCUGGCUCUCGUUCCUCAGCGUCAGUUAUGAUCCAGUAACUCGCUUUCGCCACCGGUGUUCCUCCAGAUAUCUACGCAUUUCACCGCUACACCUGGAAUUCCAGUUACCUCUAUCACACUCUAGCAAUCCAGUUUCCAAUGCCAUGCCGGAGUUGAGCUCCGGGCUUUAACAUCAGACUUAAAUCACCGCCUACGAACUCUUUACGCCCAAUAAUUCCGGACAACGCUUGCAUCCUACGUAUUACCGCGGCUGCUGGCAC
rnacentral:rRNA from 1 species